rnacentral:rRNA from 1 species
CCUAGACAUGCAAGUCGAACGAAGAGCCCCAUGAGAACUGAAUGAAGUUGGCGAGCUUGCUCAAAGAUGGAAUGACGUAGGAUUUGGAUUCUGCUCUUAGUGGCGAACGGGUGAGUAACACGUGGGUUACCUGCCUUCAAGCUGGGGAUAACAGCUAGAAAUGGUUGCUAAUACCGAAUGUGCUAGUAAUAGUAAAGGCGCUCUUAAGCGUCACUUGAAGAUGGGCCUGCGGCGUAUUAGAUAGUUGGUGGGGUAACGGCCUACCAAGUCAACGAUGCGUAGCCGGACUGAGAGGUUGAACGGCCACACUGGGACUGAGACACGGCCCAGACUCCUACGGGAGACAGCAGUUAGGAAUAUUCGGCAAUGGGCGAAAGCCUGACCGAGCAAUGCCGCGUGUGAGAUGAAGGUCCUCUGGAUUGUAAAUCACUUUUAUUUGGGAAGAACGGUAAGUAUAGGAAAUGAUACUUACGUGACGGUACCUUUUGAAUAAGCUCCGGCUAACUACGUGCCAGCAGCCGC